UAACAACUGGCUUUUGCCAGUUCCAUGGUGCGAGUCUUCCGGCCACAGACAAUCUGAGGCUGCAUGUGACAUGGGGGGACAUGGGCUUGGGAAAGAUGCCACCGCCGGCUCCAGCCCAGUGGGGUCUGUGACCACAAGAGGUGACACAGCACUGCUUUUUGGGGAACCCCUGGCCUCCCAGCCUCUGACCAGUUUAAUUUGAGAGCCUGUUGUUUAUGAGGACCUCUGCUUUGUUUUUUCCUCCGCAGGCUGAUCCUUAUCAGGAUGCUGGAGUUAUUUCGAGCAGCGUCGGGCAGACAUCUGGAGGAAGGCAGACACGGCGAGCCCUGGACGAGGGCGUCUGGGACCAGAGGGCCCUGGGCCCUGGCUGAGAGUCCCAGGACCCUCGGGAGGAAGGAGGGGUUUGGAUUCGGCAUCGGCAGAGAGGGACACGGAAGACAUUCCAGGGCCCGGCAGAGGUAAAAGGAGUCAGCUGAGGGAAAUCGUGUGGAGCUUCCUGAACCUCAGACUCUUCCUCUGGAAAACAGAGAUGACCAUUUCAACUCUGCUGACCUCUGGAUGUUUUUGUGAAAUGCUGUAUUAAUUGAAUAAUCUAUCAGGGGAAAGGAGUUCUGGAGGCCAGAAAUCUGAAAUCAAGGUGCCCGUGCAGCCACACUCUCCCUGGAGGCUCUGGGGAAGAAGCCACUUCUUGCUCUUCCAGUGGAUUCUUGGCUGGUGUUUCUUCAUAUGUGGGUACAUCACUCCAACCUCUGCCUCUGGGGUCCCACUGCCGCCUCCUCUUCUACGUGUAUCAAAUGUCCCCCUGCCUCUCUUUAUUUUUAUUUUUAUUUUUAUUUUUUAUUUUUUGAGAGGGCAUCUCUCAUAUUUAUUGAUCAAAUGGUUGUCAACAACAAUAAAAUUCUGUAUAUGGCUGCCUCUCUUCUAAGGAUACCUGUGAUGGCAUUUCAGGCCCAUCACGAUCACCCAGGGUAAUUUUCCCAGGUCAGGAUUCUUGACUGCAUGCUCAACCUCCCUUUGUCCUCAUAAGGUAAUGUUUACAGGUUCCAGGAUUGGGACUGGUAUCUCCAGGUGGCCAUUAUUCAAGCCAAGAGAUGUUGCCAGUCACAGUGAAAAAUGGGCAUGUUUAUAGGAUUUCGUUUGAUGCUGAUGCGAAGUUACACAGAUUAAAGCCCUCUUAUGAGCUGGAUAGUUUAUGUCCCAGAUGUUAUUAACACCAACCUGCAAGGGGAAACUACUAGCCUCGUCUUGCCGAUGAGGAUACCGAGGAUCAGAGGCACAGGAGCUAGCCAAGGCUUCACAGCUGGCAACUGGAGGGGCUGAACUUCCAGCUCUAAAGUUGGUGUUCUUAUACCGCAACUCCCUGUUGCCCAUAGAGACCAUGGAUGUGAGCAAAUGAUGUCGUUGCUCCAUAUGGCAGGCCUGGCUUCCAUGCUCAGAUAAAAUAAACAACUCUACUCUAGCAUCUUUGGAGACCUGACCCCUGCUAUUCUGUUAUCUGUGAUGCUUAUAGGAGGGCUGAGCACCAGGACAGCACUGAUCUUUGCCCUCAGCAAAGUAUCAGGUCUUUCCAAAGGAGAUCGGAUGUGAGGCAGCUUAUGAGAAUCCCGUCAGAUAUAUGGGAGUUUGCUGACCCCACCGGGAAAGGGGCUGGGGCUUCCCAACACAGAUGCACAGCUCAGGGCUGUAAGGUCAGGAAGAAAUAGAC